AGUGAACGCUGGCGGUAGGCCUAACACAUGCAAGUCGAACGGCAGCACAGUAAGAGCUUGCUCUUACGGGUGGCGAGUGGCGGACGGGUGAGGAAUACAUCGGAAUCUACUUUUUCGUGGGGGAUAACGUAGGGAAACUUACGCUAAUACCGCAUACGACCUACGGGUAAAAGCAGGGGAUCUUCGGACCUUGCGCGAUUGAAUGAGCCGAUGUCGGAUUAGCUAGUUGGCGGGGUAGAGGCCCACCAAGGCGACGAUCCGUAGCUGGUCUGAGAGGAUGAUCAGCCACACUGGAACUGAGACACGGUCCAGACUCCUACGGGAGGCAGCAGUGGGGAAUAUUGGACAAUGGGCGCAAGCCUGAUCCAGCCAUACCGCGUGGGUGAAGAAGGCCUUCGGGUUGUAAAGCCCUUUUGUUGGGAAAGAAAAGCAGCAGGUUAAUACCCCGCUGUUCUGACGGUACCCAAAGAAUAAGCACCGGCUAACUUCGUG
rnacentral:rRNA from 1 species